ensembl:lncRNA
CUCUGGGAUCAGGUAGGAAUCCAUCUGCACUAGAAAUGAUGUGAGAGGGUGACUACAAUUCCUGCACAAAAUUAAUCAGUGAUAACAUGAAGCUUCUUUUGAGCUGGAGGACGCUUCAUGGGCUUUGGCUGCUUAUAUACUAGUCCUUUUGUAUUUACAGGCAGCAGAGAUGCAAGGGGCUGCUCUGAAAAUGAUGCCUCCUAUUUUAUGACGUUGGCCCACGACGUCAGAGGGAGAUAGUGGUAGUAUGGCAGUAGGGGCUGAACCUUCCCACCAAUGUUCUGUUAUACGUUGUUGCUGUGUGACAGAUGGCAGCAGACGGGCACUCUGACAGAAUGGUGUCUGCCUUGGAAGUGAGGAUGAAGCAAAGGCGUGUCACUGAGUUCCUCCAUGUGGAAAAAAUGGCACCCACUGACACUCAUCAGUGCUUGCUGAAUGUUUCUGGAGAUCAACAGUGGAGCAGGGAGAUGUCCAGCCACUUCGUGGGAAGAAGGGCAUCAGUAUGCAUAGAGGUUGCUUGGGAAGACAAACACCAUAUCCAUUAAUGUCCUUGCAUUCUUCUCCUUUCCUCCAACUUUUACUGCUGAGCAUAACAUUCCAUUAUAUGGAAAAUCCCUUUGGUAUAUUGGAGUCAGUUGUCCUGGCAGUGUACCCUCCCACAUCUUGCUCAUUCCCAGCGUAUUGGCUCUGCGUGCCGAGUGUGGUUUGGAGAUGCAGUCUUGGUAAAGUGCAAGCACAGCUCAGAUGCAGACGAAACUGCCUAAACACAAAUACAAAGUGCAGCAAGCUGCCAUGAGGAAACUCCAUCCCAAAAAGACACUAUACAAAAUACACUUUUGUAUAGUCAUUACGGACAAAAGUGGCAAUAUACACAUGCGAUGUUUCAUGAUCAGUAGAAAUGCUACAACUGACAUUAUAUCAACAGUGCAACAGAAGUCCUUAACUUGCUGAUGAAAGCAACCUUGGGUUUUGGUGGAAACCUGAACCAGAAUAUUUAACAUCCUUCCUGCCUCAAAAACAAAUGUAUUUUCUGGAGAUUAUUCUUAUUGUACAUCUAGCAGAGGAGUCAUGUCAUCUGUGGGCUCCAGAGGGGAAUAGAAACAGUUCUUCAAAACCACAGUGUACAGCAAGACAACAAAUUCUAUAGGCAAAUGAACAACUCAUGAUACAAUAAACUUGGUAAAAUUCCACUUGUCAUAUUUAGUAAAAUGAAAAAUCACAGAAUUACAAUAUGGGAUACAGGAGACAGAAAUAUUUCCCGUUUUAAUUAAAAUGAGGCAUUGUAUAACAGGUCAAACAGAUGGCACAAAGCUUUUUCAAAUACAAGGGAAAUUUCCAUUUCCUUUUUUCCAUGACUACUCCUCCUCAUGUUUUCCCAGCCAACUUCAUCUCUAGGGUUACUGAAGCCAACUGCAUUGGCUGAUAGUUGACCUACAGAUAAACACUGUUAAGAUACCGAGAAAUUCAAAACCAUUAACAGAUGCUGUUGCAAAAGCAACAAAAUAGAAUCAUGAACUUAAGAAAUCGAACAAAGAAAAUAUUUUGUAUUCUUUCAUUUUUGAGCACUUUCAAGGUUAGGGAGAAGUUCUGUUUUGUUUAAUCUCUUGGCUCUAUUCAAUGCAGCCUAAUGGGUGGGGGAUUUCACACACUGAUGAAAAGUUUUCCAGUAGCAUUAGUUAUAACUGAAAUAGGCCCCACAUAUAUGACAGGAAUUACUUCUAUUCAUAUAUGGUUAUUAAAAAAUAGCACAGAACAUACGUUGUUUUACAUUUAACUUUCUUCCCAUCCUAUGUGUUUCAGUCAGCAUUUUUCUGUCAUUUGGAAGAGGUAACAUAAAAUUGAAAACUUUGAAUUGUUCAUGCAAGCAGCAAGACAAGGUUAGUAAAAUCUAAUUUAUAGGCAUAAAUGGAUGGAUUACUCAUGGAAAAAGUUUUCUCUGUGAUGUAGUCUUGUUGUGCAAUUGGUUAGAUACAGACAACAGCAGCUGUCUUGAACCUAAAAUAUUGAUUAUAGUUGCUAAUGAUGACUGGAAUCAAUAAUGUGAUCUGGCAUGUCAACCCAUAUGUUCCUGUAUCUCCAAGGCAACAAUACAUUUUAAAGCUGCUCACAAUUUUAUGUUUAUAAUAUUUUAUGUCAGGUACUAAUUCAGAAUAAUGAUUUUUCUGUGAGGCCUUUAGGUAACCUAAAAUUUUGAGAUAUUAAUUACUUGAAUUACAGUCAUUUUCUAUCAAGCUACCACAGCAGUCACACCUGUAUAUGAUCAUCAGAACUGAGUAGAUUGAAAUAAUUCUGUAAGACUUACUAUAAUAUUUUCAAAUCUUGUAAUGAGCUUUCAUGACUUCUAAGUGUCUUAAUCAAAUCUGAAUGCUCUCACUUAGUGGAGAACAUGUCAUUGUUUCAACCUAAGUCCAUUUUACUUUUUGUGUAGGCUGUACGUACUUUACAAACAUAUUUAUUUGUAUGUGAAACAUAACCUGUGCUUCUGGUUGCAUCACAAAAUGUUUACUAAUUAAUCCUGUCUGGAACAAAUUAUUAUAAUGAAAAAACAAUAAAGAGCAAAACUGGAUACUCCAGAACUGGGCCUUGAGCUUUGUUUUAUGGAAGAAACCUCUGCCAGAGUGUGGUAUAAGGAGUGCCAGACCAAUUUCUGGCUCUUCAACAUCUUAGUCACUCUAACUAGCUGGUAAUACUGUUCCAUCUCCUCUCAUGCAGGUGUAGGCAUGAUUCCUUUAUCCCUCCAUUACACUCUGCAUUGGCAACAUAAAAGACUUUAAUGUAAAAGCUGUACAUUUAAUUUACAUUUAAUUUGACAGAACUUAAGUGCAUCUUUCCUCACUUUCACUAUGCUGCAGUGAUACACAGUAAACAUGUCAAUGAGUGCUGGUUACUAUGCAACUUCUGUGCUUGUAGGUAAGACAUAAAUAAUACGAGCUGAUAAAAUUUGUCCACAGAGACAUGCCAAUAUCCAGAACACCAGGCUAAUCAGGACUUUUUGCUGAAAUGUAUUAUAAAUAUGAACAUUAUUGUAUCAAGAGUCACUGCAGGAACUCAAAUCUAUGUGGAAAAAGAACAGUACAAAACCUGCUGGAGAAUCUGGGGCAUUGUGCUGGCACUGCCAUGCAUAAAAUUUCAUUAUUUUGGAGGGUUUCUACGCAGACCUAUGACCCACUUCUGUUCCCACUGAAAUCCAUGGCAGAUUUAAUAGGUGCUCUAUUUUUUUUUUUUUCAUUUUAAUUGGCACUCUAUUUAUAGAAAAAUGUGUAACUUAAGAUUAUGUGAAUUCUUGUCUUGCCUCAUCUUCU